GAUGAACGCUGGCGGCGUGCUUAACACAUGCAAGUCGAACGAAGCACUUAAGAUUGAUUCUUCGGAUGACGUCUUUUGUGCCUUAGUGGCGGACGGGUGAGUAACGCGUGGGUAACCUGCCUCACACAGGGGGAUAACAGUUAGAAAUGACUGCUAAUACCGCAUAACCCGAUAGGAUCGCAUGAUCCAGACGGAAAAGAUUUAUCGGUGUGAGAUGGACCCGCGUCUGAUUAGCUAGUUGGUGAGGUAACGGCCCACCAAGGCGACGAUCAGUAGCCGGCCUGAGAGGGUGAACGGCCACAUUGGGACUGAGACACGGCCCAAACUCCUACGGGAGGCAGCAGUGGGGAAUAUUGCACAAUGGGGGAAACCCUGAUGCAGCGACGCCGCGUGAGUGAAGAAGUAUUUCGGUAUGUAAAGCUCUAUCAGCAGGGAAGAAAAUGACGGUACCUGACGAAGAAGCCCCGGCUAACUACGUG
rnacentral:rRNA from 1 species